UGCAAGUCGAACGAGAAAGUGGAGCAAUCCAUGAGUACAGUGGCGUACGGGUGAGUAACACGUGACUAACCUACCCUCGAGUGGGGAAUAACUUCGGGAAACCGAGGCUAAUACCGCAUAAUGUCUACGGACCAAAUGCGCAAGCAGCUCGAGGAGGGGGUCGCGGCUGAUUAGCUUGUUGGCGGGGUAACGGCCCACCAAGGCAAUGAUCAGUAGCCGGCCUGAGAGGGCGCACGGCCACACUGGAACUGAAACACGGUCCAGACUCCUACGGGAGGCAGCAGUGGGGAAUUUUGCGCAAUGGGGGAAACCCUGACGCAGCAACGCCGCGUGGAGGAUGAAGCCCCUUGGGGUGUAAACUCCUUUCGAUCGGGACGAUUAUGACGGUACCGGAUGAAGAAGCACCGGCUAACUCUGUGCCAGCAGCCGCGGUAAUACAGAGGGUGCAAGCGUUGUUCGGAAUUAUUGGGCGUAAAG
rnacentral:rRNA from 1 species